GACGAACGCUGGCGGCGUGCUUAACACAUGCAAGUCGAACGGAAAGGCCCUGCUUUUGUGGGGUGCUCGAGUGGCGAACGGGUGAGUAACACGUGAGUAACCUGCCCUUGACUUUGGGAUAACUUCAGGAAACUGGGGCUAAUACCGGAUAGGAGCUCCUGCUGCAUGGUGGGGGUUGGAAAGUUUCGGCGGUUGGGGAUGGACUCGCGGCUUAUCAGCUUGUUGGUGGGGUAGUGGCUUACCAAGGCUUUGAUGGGUAGCCGGCCUGAGAGGGUGACCGGCCACAUUGGGACUGAGAUACGGCCCAGACUCCUACGGGAGGCAGCAGUGGGGAAUAUUGCACAAUGGGCGGAAGCCUGAUGCAGCAACGCCGCGUGCGGGAUGACGGCCUUCGGGUUGUAAACCGCUUUCGCCUGUGACGAAGCGUGAGUGACGGUAAUGGGUAAAGAAGCACCAGCUAACUACGUG
rnacentral:rRNA from 1 species